rnacentral:rRNA from 1 species
UGGGGAAUAUUGCACAAUGGGCGCAAGCCUGAUGCAGCAACGCCGCGUGAGGGAUGACGGCCUUCGGGUUGNAAACCUCUUUUAGUAGGGAAGAAGCGAAAGUGACGGUACCUGCAGAAAAGCACCGGCUAACUACGUGCCAGCAGCCGCGGUAAUACGUAGGGUGCGAGCGUUGUCCGGAAUUAUUGGGCGUAAAGAGCUCGUAGGCGGUCUGUCGCGUCUGCUGUGAAAAUCCCGAGGCUCAACCUCGGGCCUGCAGUGGGUACGGGCAGACUAGAUGCGGUAGGGGAGAAUGGAAUUCCUGGUGUAGCGGUGGAAUGCGCAGAUAUCAGGAGGAACACCGAUGGCGAAGGCAGUUCUCUGGGCCCGUAACUGACGCUGAGGAGCGAAAGCGUGGGGAGCGAACAGGAUUAGAUACCCUGGUAGUCCACGCCGUAAACGUUGGGCGCUAGAUGUGGGGACCAUUCCACGGUUUCCGUGUCGCAGCUAACGCAUUAA